rnacentral:rRNA from 1 species
UUUUCUUAGGCCUUUGUAUCUAACAUGCCCAGUCUCCUCUGAUCUUGGAAGCUAAGAGGGGUUGGGCCUAGUUAGUACUUAGAUGAGAGACUGCCUGGGAAUACUGGGUGCUCAGAGCAC